rnacentral:lncRNA from 1 species
GAAUAAGAACAUAACUGACAAUUAAGCUGUCUAGAUCAUACGUUCAUACAUUGGUCAAUACGAGGUAGUUUCAUACUUUUGAUAGAAUGAUUUGGAGAAUAUUAGAACCACAUAUUUUGCUAUGUCACUACCUAACCAAGAAAUACAGAAUAAUCAAAAGAAAGGUAUACCAAAAAUUUUACAUCAUCAAGUUCAAUAUCGCAAAGCACUAUUUUGACAUGUUUACAAACAUCUAAAGUAGUUCAUAUCUACUAGAGGGUUACUUUUACAUAUUAACAUCAAUUUUCAUGUGUUAUCUAUCAGCAUCAGAGGUAUUCCAUUGAAACCAGAGCACAAGGAAAUGAAAAACUUUCAGAAUAAUAUAUAUUUAACAACAAAAAGUCAAAACACUAAUAAAACACCACCAAUUAUAGUCACAUGUAACAACCUGAUUAUAGACCACACAUUACCUCCAGAAAGCCUGCGCACGCAAAGUUCACAAAGAACAUUUAACAGCAAAAAGUCAAACAUUAAUCAAACACCACCAAUUAUUAUAUACUCAGAUGUAACAACCUGAUUAUAGACCACACAUUACCUCCAGAAAGCCUGCGCUCGCAAAGUUCACAAAGAAUAACUUAUGACAAACCUUCUAGGUUGCUUAUUUGCACACAUGAACUAAUUUAUAGUGCUCCCUCCCACUCUUCUGCUCAACCCCGAAAUUAAUAGUAUAUAAUUUACACCUAACUGGAAGCACUGCCCAAGUACCUUGAGCAAUCAUGGACACCAGGAAAACCACAACUUUGUGCACCUAGCCAGAGACUUCAUACACUCAGGUGCAUUGAGGGGACACAGAUCAAACAAAAGUGUGACUAGAGUGACUGAAUUCAGGGAGUUCUAAGAUGAAGAGCUAACUCCAGUGACACUUGGGUUUCAUGAGGCAAACGAGUAAGCCACAAGGAUGGAGGAUAGAAUAACUGCUGGUGGAUCACUGGUGUCAUAGCUAUACAAUGUUUCUGACAGAUGAUGGUGUCUGCAGGCAUGUCCAAAUGAUGGUUUGAUGCAAAGUCACAAUGACUGCUAAUAAUGAGCUAGCCAACUGUAGCAUCUAAAGUAUGUUCGUCUUCAAUUUUUCACUGAGGACACAUAAACUAAAGAUAAUGGUUGCAGAAAGUACUCCAAAUCCAAGCAUAACCCUACUACAAAGAAAAAGUAACAUAAGCAAAUUUACAAGUUUUUACUUUUUCAACUUGAUCAAUUUUUCUCAAAGAUAUGUCCAGCAUCUUCAUUGAGAAGACAACCCCCAAAACAGGAAGCUACUUUUCCACUCCAAAAGACAUUAUAGUCUCAAUGUAUAUCCUGAAAAUAAAAAUCUUAAUCGAGUAUAGUAAAGAACUAACACGUCACAAUAGCUUGAGUUUAAGAAAGAAAUCAAAUGAAAAGAACGUGAGAGCAUUGUUAGAAUAAUUAUACAAAAUGAGAUGAUUUUCAGCAUUUGCCAGCAAGCCAAGUUCGAUAGGC